UGAUAAAGUGACACAAAAAAUUAAACACAAAAUCAACACCGUAUAACUAUACUUAUUUUUGCACUCUUUUUUAUUUUUUUUCCUUUCCCUCUUCCUUUCUCCACUUCUGCAACUCAGUGUUCAAUUCUCUCUUCCCUCCCUCUUCUCCGUUACUCUUCUCUCCUCUACAACUCUAUCUCACCAUAAAUCUCUCUCCGGCGACCACUCACGGAACCACACCGUAAGAUUAGAGUCAGACCCGAGACAAAGAAGAUCGUCGUCGGAUAAGGGAGAAGUGAGGAGAUCGUCGGCGGCGCGACGUCUCCAGAAUUGGACGGAUCAAAGGGACGGCGAGGUUCGUUAUUGAUGAGGAUGAUGGUGGUGAACAGAUCUCCGGCGGCGGAGUGAGAAGAGGAGGUCGUCAACGCCGCGAGUUCUAGAUCCGAACAAAUGGAAGGGACAACGCGGUGGUGGUGAUCACUAAUGAGGACGGCGGUGGUGAGAGAGGGCGGUCGUGGUGAUGAAGCAAAAGAUGGUGGAAGAAUAUAGAGGGAAGGACGCAGAGAAGAGAGGAAGAAGAUGGAGUGUGUUGUUUUUACAAAAAUGCCCCUGCUUUUAUAUCUGAAAUGUCUAAACUGCCCAUAGUGUCUGUAUUGUGUCCAAAUUUAUGUGUUCAGUUAUCAUUGCUGUUCUUAUAUUGAGGGAACUCAUAAUUCAAGAUGUCUAAUUGGUGUUUGUUUGACCUUAA
rnacentral:lncRNA from 1 species